rnacentral:rRNA from 1 species
AUUUAACGCUGGCGGCAGGCUUAACACAUGCAAGUCGAACGAGUGGCGGACUGGUGGGUAAUGCUUGGGAAUCUGGCUUAUGGAGGGGGAUAACUACGGUAAACUUUAGCUAAUACCGCGUGCCCUCGGAUGAGCCCAAGUGGGAUUAGGUAGUUGGUGAGGUAAAGGCUCCCCAAGCCGACGAUCUCUAGCUGGUCUGAGAGGAUGACCAGCCACACUGGGACUGAGACACGGCCCAGACUCCUACGGGAGGCAGCAGUGGGGAAUAUUGCGCAAUGGGGGCAACCUGACGCAGCAAUGCCGCGUGAAUGAAGAAGGCCUUCGGGUUGUAAAGUUCUUUCGGUAGCGAGGCGUUAACUACAGAAGAAGCACCGGCUAACUCCGUGCCAGCAGCCGCGGUAAUUC